AGAGUUUGAUCAUGGCUCAGGAUGAACGCUAGCUACAGGCUUAACACAUGCAAGUCGAGGGGAAACGACAUCGAAAGCUUGCUUCCGAUAGGCGUCGACCGGCGCACGGGCGAGUAACGCGUAUCCAACCUGCCCACCACUUGGGGAUAACCUUGCGAAAGUAAGACUAAUACCCAAUGAUAUCUCUAGAAGGCAUCUGAAAGAGAUUAAAGAUUUAUCGGUGAUGGAUGGGGAUGCGUCUGAUUAGCUUGUUGGCGGGGUAACGGCCCACCAAGGCAACGAUCAGUAGGGGUUCUGAGAGGAAGGUCCCCCACAUUGGAACUGAGACACGGUCCAAACUCCUACGGGAGGCAGCA
rnacentral:rRNA from 1 species